rnacentral:misc_RNA from 1 species
AACGCACAUUGCGCCCCCUGGUAUUCCGGCGGGCAUGUCUGUUUGAGCGUCAUUUCAACACCUCGAAGUUGGUUGCUUUUGCGGCCAACGACGGUCAUGGGCUUCGGUCACUGCUUGCGCAAACCGGGCUUUAAAGUUGAACGCUCUGCGGGUGACUCAUUGCCAAACCGAACUAGUAGAAUUUCUUUCUGUUGGGUAAGGUUGGGCUCACCUCGCCUGAACAAAACACUUAUUUUCUAAGGUUUGACCUCAGAUCAGACAAGGAUACCCGCUGAACUUAA